GAAGGAAAAAGACCACGGACACUGAAAGUGGAACUACAGUAGGCUCUGUUUCUCAGGAUGCCGUGGAGGAUAAAUUAGCUAAGAAGAAGAGCAAAGAGGUCUGAUUUCUACCGCUUUUAAAAAGGAGAAGCCCAGAGGAAUGAACUUUUGACACUCCAAAGCAAAUUCGAGCAGGAUAAAAAGCGGAUUCAACAGAUGAGAGCUGCUCGGAAGUUCCGACCUUACUGUGUGCAAUUGAUGCUUAGUCAAGAGGUGAACCUAUCUCCCUUGAUGGUAACCUGAUCUUAUCUUUGAUGGUUUCAUCAUUGCUUCAUUUGAGUAAGAUGAAACCCUUACUAAAUGCCACUGGCUACCCAUUUUGUGCAAUUUGUGGUUUCAUAGUAUACUGGAAAACCGGCUGGGAUUGUAAUGAGAAAAUGCACGUUUUGAAUGUAAUUCCAAAAUCCAAUUUUCCC